rnacentral:rRNA from 1 species
AGAUUGAACGCUGGCGGCAUGCCUUACACAUGCAAGUCGAACGGCAGCACGGGAGCAAUCCUGGUGGCGAGUGGCGAACGGGUGAGUAAUAUAUCGGAACGUGCCCAGUCGUGGGGGAUAACGCAGCGAAAGCUGUGCUAAUACCGCAUACGAUCUCUGGAUGAAAGCGGGGGACUCGCAGGGGCCUCGCGCGAUUGGAGCGGCCGAUAUCAGAUUAGCUAGUUGGUGGGGUAAAAGCCCACCAAGGCGACGAUCUGUAGCUGGUCUGAGAGGACGACCAGCCACACUGGAACUGAGACACGGUCCAGACUCCUACGGGAGGCAGCAGUGGGGAAUUUUGGACAAUGGGCGAAAGCCUGAUCCAGCAAUGCCGCGUGCAGGAUGAAGGCCUUCGGUUGUAAACUGUCUUUUUGUAACGGAACGAACGGUACUGACCCUUAAGUACGGUAGGCUAAUGAACGGUAACCGUUAAGGAAAUAAAGGCCAACCGGACUAAACUACCGUA